UGCAGAGUGUCGCCAUUUUCCUCGCUAUUAUUAUAGGAGUCUACAGAUUACUGGAACUUGUCAAACAGAAGAAACUUGUAACAAGCGCUGUGGUUCCAGUUUUCACCGGGGGACUCUAUAUUCUUGUUUCGAUCUUAAUCAUGACGUCAGCGUUCAUCAUCACCGUCGGAUUCAAUAAACUUUGCAAUGAGCUUGUAGAUCAAAACAUUCCGUUCUAUGAUGAAUGCAUUGAUUUUCAAAAGCCAUAUCACUUACCUCCCUCCGAUGCAACUCACUUCCACGACUAUCUCGUGACUGC